rnacentral:misc_RNA from 1 species
UGGAAUUAAUACUGCUUUCAGCAGUCGGAAAAGACGAGAUUCAGUUCGUGGAACGUGGAUGCCACAAGGUUCUUGAAUUUUCCCCUUGCCUCUUUUCAUUUUCAUUAAUACUCCUAUGCUAUUCUGAUUUCUGGUUAGAUUUUUUUUCCCUGAUGACUGGUUAAUUUGAAAAACAUUGAACUAGGUGAAAAAAGAAAGAAACUUGAAGAAGAGAAGGGUAUCAUCGUUCGCUUCGUCAUUGGUCAUAGGUGAGGUUUUAAUCUCAUUUAUGAUUUAAUUUUAAAUAAGUAGACGUGGUGUGCAUUUUGUGCUAUAAUAUCCAUGUGUUUGGUUGAUGUAUGAAGUUGUUGGCCCUUUAUGUUUACUGAUUUUUUCAGCCUUUUGUGCAGGUAAGUAUUCACAUUUGUUAUAUUUAUUGAUUAUUAUCACUGCAUUUUGUUAUUUCAUUUGUUUACUUGGGAUUAGUAUUGUGUGUGAAUCUUUAAAACCAAUUGCAUUAAUUGUCCAUGGAAAUUAAUCAGUAGUUCUAUAAACUUAAAUGUAGCCUUAUUUCUAAAUUUUAAGUUUUUCUUGAUGACUUGAUUAAUCAAUUGAAUUGAUGCUUCUGCUCUCUAAACAUGUGAUUCUAAUAACCGACAGCUAAUAGUCAACGACAGUGCUGCUAGAUUAUGGAUUUAAUACAACUUAAAAGCCUUUUAUUUUUUUGGUUCUAUAUCAUCUAGUGCGGCGUUAGGAGGCAUUUUGGACAGAGCAAUUGAAGCAGAGGAUAGAAAGCAUGGAGAUUUCUUAAGGCUGGACCAUGUUGAAGGAUACCUUGAAUUGUCUGCGAAAACAAAGAUAUAUUUUGCUACUGCUGUUGCUUUAUGGGAUGCAGAUUUCUAUGUCAAAGUUGAUGAUGAUGUCCAUGUAAAUAUAGGUAUAACAGUACUUGAUUUAUGAUAGUUUUCUUUUUGUUAUUGGGAUAUGUAAUUAGUGAAGAUGUAAAAUCUGUUAUUCUUUCCCUAGUUGAUAAACAAAAAUCAAUAGGGAAAGACUAUCUUUCAUGUAUAAUUCUAACUUGUGAAAAAUUUGUUCUCUUUUAAUUUAAAGCCUCUACCACAUGACACUUAACAUGAAUGACUUUUUGUGGUUUGCUAUCAGGAUGAAGAUAUAUUUUGUGAUGUUAAAUUUCUUAUGUAGCUGUUGUUCAUGCUUCUCUAAAAUGCUAAGUCUGUUUCCUUGCAACUUGAUAC